CCCAUUUUGGGGUUCCCCAUUCCCAGCCCCAUUUCGGGGGACCCCAGCCCCAUUUCGGGGACCCCCAAACCCCCGGACCCCACUGGGACCCUGGGCUGGGAUUUGGGGUUUUUGGUUGCGGAUUUUGGGUUUCCAGGCGCGGAUUUUGGGGUUUCAGGGGCGGAUUUGGGAUUUCCCGGUGCAGAUUUUGGGGCUUUGGGUGCAGAUUUGGGGUUUCCAGGUAUAAAUUUGCACUUUUUGGGUGCAGAUUUGGGGUUUUCAGGUGUAAAUUUGCACUUUUUGGGUGCAGAUUUGGGGUUUUCAGGUGUAAAUUUGCACUUUUUCGGUGCAGAUUUGGGGUUUCCGGUGCAGAUUUGGGAUUUUUGGGUGCAGAUUUGGGAUUUUUGGGUGCAGAUUUGGGUUUCCAUGUACGAAUUUGGGGUUUCCAUGUGCGGAUUUGGGGUUUUCAGGUGCAAAUUUUCCCUUUUUGGGUGCGGAUUUGGGGUUUUUGGGUGCGGAUUUUGGGUUUCCAGGUGCGGGUUUGGGGUUUCAGGGGCGGAUUUGGGAUUUCCCGGUGCAGAUUUUGGGGCUUUGGGUGCAGAUUUGGGGUUUCCAGGUGUAAAUUUGCACUUUUUGGGUGCAGAUUUGGGGUUUCCAGGUGUAAAUUUGCACUUUUUGGGUGGAGAUUUGGGGUUUCCGGUGCAGAUUUGGGAUUUUGGGUGCAGAUUUGGGAUUUCCAUGUACGAAUUUGGGUUUCCAUGUGCGGAUUUGGGGUUUUCAGGUGCAAAUUUUCCCUUUUUGGGUGCGGGUUUUGGGGUUUCCAGGUGCGGAUUUGGGGUUUUUGGGUGCAGAUUUGGGGUUUUGGGUGCAGAUUUGGGGUUUUUGGGUGCGGAUUUUCCCUUUUUGGGUGCGGGUUUUUGGGUUUCCAAGUGUAAAUUUGGGGGUUCAGGUGUAGAUUUUGGGUUUUUCCAGGUGCGGAUUUGGGGUUUCCAGGUGUGAAAUUUGGGGAUUUGGGUGCGGAUUUGGGGUUUCCAGGUGCUGUUUUUGGAUUUUCAGGUGCAAAUUUUCCGUUUUUGGGUGCAGAUUUGGAUUUUUUGGGUGCAGAUUUGGGGUGUCUGGGUACAAAUUUUCCCUUUUUGGGUGCAGAUUUGGGGUUUUCAGGUGCAAAUUUUCCUUUUUGGGUGCAGAUUUGGGGUUUUCAGGUGCAAAUUUUCCCUUUUUGGGUGCGGAUUUGGGGUUUCCAUGUACGGAUCUGCUGGGUUUGGUUUCAGAUUUGGGGUUUUCAGGUGCAAAUUUUCGCUUUUCGGGUGCAGAUUUGGGGGUUUUGGAUGCAAAUUUUUGCUUUUUUUGGGUGCAGAUUUGGGGUUCCCGUGUACGAAUUUGUGAUUUUUGGGUGCAGAUUUGGGGUGUCUGGGUACAAAUUUUCGCUUUUUGGGUGCAGAUUUGGCAUUUUUGGGUGCAGAUUUUCCCUUUUUGGGUGCAACUUUUCCCUUUUUGGGUGCAGAUUUUCGCUUUUUGGGUGCAGAUUUGGCGGUUUUAGGUGCAGAUUUUCCCUUUUUGGGUGCAGAUUUUCCCUUUUUAGGUGCAGAUUUUCCCUUUUUGGAUGCAACUUUUCCCUUUUUGGGUGUAAAUUUUCCCUUUUGGUGUUCAGCUUUUCCCUUUUUUGGGUGCAGAUUUGGCAUUUUUAGGUGCAGAUUUUCCCUUUUUGGGUGCAACUUUUCCCUUUUUGGGUGCAGAUUUGGGGUUUUUGGGUGCAGAUUUUCCCUUUUUGGGUGCAGAUUUGGCAUUUUUAGGUGCAGAUUUUCCCUUUUUGGGUGCAGAUUUUGGGGUUUUCAGGUGCAAAUUUUCGCUCUUUGGGUGCAGAUUUGGGGUUUUUGGGUGCAGAUUUUCGCUUUUUGGGUGCAGAUUUGGCGGUUUUAGGUGCAGAUUUUCCCUUUUUAGGUGCAGAUUUUCCCUUUUUGGGUGCAGCUUUUCCCUUUUUUGGGUGUAAAUUUUCCCUUUUGGUGUUCAGCUUUUCCUUUUUUGGGUGCGGAUUUUCCCUUUUCGGGCUCCGUUUCUGG